GUCGAGAUGAAACCCGCAGUGGAUGAGAUGUUCCCCGAGGGCGCGGGGCCCUAUGUGGACCUGGAUGAGGUGGGGUGGUGGCGGCGCGGAGCGAUGCGUGGGGGUGGGAGCACGCCUGCAAACCUGCGCGGGAGCCCAGGCCUUUGGGGAUUCAGAGGCUGGGGAAGCGGGAGCUGCCGGGGACAGUCGCAGGGCCCGCGACUGUUAACGUGAACUGCAGCGAGGAAGUAGGGUUUGCUCGCUGUCAGUUGAUUGUGGCUCCUGAUAAAUCUUCCAGAGAGGGAAGGCCCGAGCGAGGCUUACGCACUGACAGGCCUCAAGACCCCAAGCUCUGAGAGAAGGGCUGGAGGUAGCACCGGGCUUUUGAUGGACCUGGCAGCCAAUGAGAAGGCCGUUCAUGCAGACUUUUUUAAUGAUUUUGAAGACCUUUUUGAUGAUGAUGAUGUCCAGUGAGGCCGCCCGGUCCUAUGUGCUCCAUGUCUGUGAUGUGUCUGGAGUCUCUCGGGACACGACCAGCUGAUUGUAGACACCGUGUUGAUAUCACUAGAAAUGAAGACCUUGUCAACCAAUAGAGGAACUGUCUGAACCAACUGGGUACUGAUGUCUCUGGGAAUGCCAGCCCGUGUCCUUGUUUAAGUUAAUAAAGAACACUGUAACACGCAGGGUGAUUUUAA